rnacentral:rRNA from 1 species
AUUGAACGCUGGCGGCAGGCCUAACACAUGCAAGUCGAACGGUAACAGGAAGAAGCUUGCUUCUUUGCUGACGAGUGGCGGACGGGUGAGUAAUGUCUGGGAAACUGCCUGAUGGAGGGGGAUAACUACUGGAAACGGUAGCUAAUACCGCAUAACGUCGCAGGACCAAAGAGGGGGACCUUCGGGCCUCUUGCCAUCGGAUGUGCCCAGAUGGGAUUAGCUUGUUGGUGGGGUAACGGCUCACCAAGGCGACGAUCCCUAGCUGGUCUGAGAGGAUGACCAGCCACACUGGAACUGAGACACGGUCCAGACUCCUACGGGAGGCAGCAGUGGGGAAUAUUGCACAAUGGGCGCAAGCCUGAUGCAGCCAUGCCGCGUGUAUGAAGAAGGCCUUCGGGUUGUAAAGUACUUUCAGCGGGGAGGAAGGGAGUAAAGUUAAUACCUUUGCUCAUUGACGUUACCCGCAGAAGAAGCACCGGCUAACUCCGUG